AGUGAACGCUGGCGGUAGGCCUAACACAUGCAAGUCGAACGGCAGCACAGUAAGAGCUUGCUCUUACGGGUGGCGAGUGGCGGACGGGUGAGGAAUACAUCGGAAUCUACUUUUUCGUGGGGGAUAACGUAGGGAAACUUACGCUAAUACCGCAUACGACCUACGGGUGAAAGCAGGGGAUCUUCGGACCUUGCGCGAUUGAAUGAGCCGAUGUCGGAUUAGCUAGUUGGCGGGGUAAAGGCCUACCAGGGCGACGAUCCGUAGCCGGUCUGAGAGGGUGAACAGCCACACUGGAAGAGAGGCACGGUCCAGACUCCGACGGGAGGCCGCAGUGGGGAAUAUUGGGCGAUGGGGGAAAGCCUGAUACAGCCAUACCGAGUGGGUGCAGAAGGCCUUCGGGUUGUAAAGCCCUUUUGUUGGGAAAGAAAAGCAGCAGGUUAAUACCCCGCUGUUCUGACGGUACCUAACGAAUAAGCACCGGCUAACUUCGUG
rnacentral:rRNA from 1 species